rnacentral:rRNA from 1 species
UGCUAAUCUGCGAUAAGCGUCGGUAAGGUGAUAUGAACCGUUAUAACCGGCGAUUUCCGAAUGGGGAAACCCAGUGUGUUUCGACACACUAUCAUUAACUGAAUCCAUAGGUUAAUGAGGCGAACCGGGGGAACUGAAACAUCUAAGUACCCCGAGGAAAAGAAAUCAACCGAGAUUCCCCCAGUAGCGGCGAGCGAACGGGGAGCAGCCCAGAGCCUGAAUCAGUGUGUGUGUUAGUGGAAGCGUCUGGAAAGGCGCGCGAUACAGGGUGACAGCCCCGUACACAAAAAUGCACAUGCUGUGAGCUCGAUGAGUAGGGCGGGACACGUGGUAUCCUGUCUGAAUAUGGGGGGACCAUCCUCCAAGGCUAAAUACUCCUGACUGACCGAUAGUGAACCAGUACCGUGAGGGAAAGGCGAAAAGAACCCCGGCGAGGGGAGUGAAAAAGAACCUGAAACCGUGUACGUACAAGCAGUGGGAGCACGCUUAGGCGUGUGACUGCGUACCUUUUGUAUAAUGGGUCAGCGACUUAUAUUCUGUAGCAAGGUUAACCGAAUAGGGGAGCCGAAGGGAAACCGAGUCUUAACUGGGCGUUAAGUUGCAGGGUAUAGACCCGAAACCCGGUGAUCUAGCCAUGGGCAGGUUGAAGGUUGGGUAACACUAACUGGAGGACCGAACCGACUAAUGUUGAAAAAUUAGCGGAUGACUUGUGGCUGGGGGUGAAAGGCCAAUCAAACCGGGAGAUAGCUGGUUCUCCCCGAAAGCU